CCUACAGGAUGCUGCAGUGGGGAAUAUUGGGCAAUGGGCGCAAGCCUGACCCAGCAACGCCGCGUGAAGGAAGAAGGCUUUCGGGUUGUAAACUUCUAUUUACAGGGAAGAGCAUAAGACGUUACCUUUCGAAUGAGCCACUGCUAACUACGUCCCAGCAGCCUCGAUAAUAAGUAGGUGGCGAUCGUUGUCCGGAUUUACUGGGUGUAAAGGGCGUGUAGCCGGGCUGACAAGUCAGAUGUGAAAUCCGGGGGCUCAACCCCCGAACUGCAUUUGAAACUGUUGGUCUUGAGUAUCGGAGAGGCAGGCGGAAUUCCUAGUGGAGCGGUGAAAUGCGUAGAUAUUAGGAGGAACACCAGUGGCGAAGGCGGCCUGCUGGACGACAACUGACGGUGAGGCGCGAAAGCGUGGGGAGCAAACAGGAUUAGAUACCCUUGUAGUC
rnacentral:rRNA from 1 species